GAGAGCAUUGGCUAGAGAACAUUGGCUAGAGAGCAUUUGGAAAGCAUUAGCAUUUAGUAAAUGCUUCUCUAAUUGCUUUUCUGACAAUUGUUUAUUGGAUAAUGUAGAGCAUAAUGCUCUACCAAUCAAGGCUAAGAUAAUUUAUGUUUUACAUAACUCUAAAAUCUCGGACUUGAUUUUUCAUAUUUUAUUAGUUAAUUAUGUUACAUAUAAUAGAAAUACUUACUUCAAACUAAAAAAAAAAUCAAAUUUAAAAAUUAGUUAUAUAUAAUUUAAUAUACAAAAAUUCAAAUACAAAUAAAAAUGAUAAAUAUAACAAAUUUAAAUAUAUUAUCCGCGCGUAGCGUGGAGAAAGGAUCUAGGAGA
rnacentral:lncRNA from 1 species